AUGAAAAUAUUUUUGUGUUCUGGAAAGUGGAGUUUGCCGGCAUUCCUCCUUCAGAUACGUGGGCAUGAACCAACGCAGCCUGCCAAGAUGGUGCUCAGUGAGAUCAAACUCCUUACACACAAGAGCAUGUGGCAUAAACUCUGCUUGCUCUUAUUCUUUUUUGAGAAUUACUCCUCAAUUUAUCUGCUAGAUAUUCUUUUGUUAGUAAGAAACCCAUCUAUUUUAAUGCGAUUUAGAUAUGCUUCUUCUGGUCAUUGGUUGAUUUCGUUACUGAAAUCUGUACAUGCUUUCUUUGUAUCAUUGCUUCAUGUCAUUAAUUCAAUUCAUGCCUUACAGUUAGUUGUUCAUAGCUGCAGAACUGUAGGGAGUUCCAUCCAAUGGUUUGUAAACUACUGGAACAGUAUCAUGUGA
rnacentral:rRNA from 1 species